GAAUUCGGGCUUAUUAGAUACNCNUGGUAGUCCACGCCGUAAACGAUGAAUGNUAAGUGUGNAGGGGUUUCCGCCCUCAAGUGCUGCAGCUAACGCAAUAAGCAUUCGCUGNNGGGAGUACGACNGCAAGGUUGAAACUCAAAGGAAUUGACGGGGGCCCGCACAAGCGGUGGAGCAUGUGGUNUAAUUCGAAGCAACGCGAAGAACCUUANCAGGUCUUGACAUCUUUUGACAAUCNUAGAGAUAGGACUUUCCCUUCGGGGACAAAAUGACAGGUGGUGCAUGGUUGUCGUCAGCUCGUGUCGUGAGAUGUUGGGUUAAGUCCCGCAACGAGCGCAACCCUUAUUGUUAGUUGCCAGCAUUAAGUUGGGCACUCUAGCAAGACUGCCGGUGACAAACCGGAGGAAGGUGGGGAUGACGUCAAAUCAUCAUGCCCCUUAUGACCUGGGCUACACACGUGCUACAAUGGACGGUACAACGAGUCGCAAGACCGCGAGGUUUAGCAAAUCUCUUAAAGCCGUUCUCAGUUCGGAUUGUAGGCUGCAACUCGCCUACAUGAAGUCGGAAUCGCUAGUAAUCGCGGAUCAGCAUGCCGCGGUGAAUACGUUCCCGGGCCUUGUACACACCGCCCGUCACACCAUGAGAGUUUGUAACACCCAAAGCCGGUGGGGUAACCUUUUGGAGCCAGCCGUCUAAGGUGGGACAGAUGAUUAGGGUGAAGUCGUAACAAGG
rnacentral:rRNA from 1 species